rnacentral:rRNA from 1 species
GGGAUAACACUUGGAAACAGGUGCUAAUACCGUAUAACAAUCGAAACCGCAUGGUUUUGAUUUGAAAGGCGCUUUCGGGUGUCGCUGAUGGAUGGACCCGCGGUGCAUUAGCUAGUUGGUGAGGUAACGGCUCACCAAGGCCACGAUGCAUAGCCGACCUGAGAGGGUGAUCGGCCACAUUGGGACUGAGACACGGCCCAAACUCCUACGGGAGGCAGCAGUAGGGAAUCUUCGGCAAUGGACGAAAGUCUGACCGAGCAACGCCGCGUGAGUGAAGAAGGUUUUCGGAUCGUAAAACUCUGUUGUUAGAGAAGAACAAGGAUGAGAGUAACUGUUCAUCCCUUGACGGUAUCUAACCAGAAAGCCACGGCUAACUACGUGCCAGCAGCCGCGGUAAUACGUAGGUGGCAAGCGUUGUCCGGAUUUAUUGGGCGUAAAGCGAGCGCAGGCGGUUUCUUAAGUCUGAUGUGAAAGCCCCCGGCUCAACCGGGGAGGGUCAUUGGAAACUGGGAGACUUGAGUGCAGAAGAGGAGAGUGGAAUUCCAUGUGUAGCGGUGAAAUGCGUAGAUAUAUGGAGGAACACCAGUGGCGAAGGCGGCUCUCUGGUCUGUAACUGACGCUGAGGCUCGAAAGCGUGGGGAGCAAACAGGAUUAGAUACCCUGGUAGUCCACGCCGUAAACGAUGAGUGCUAAGUGUUGGAGGGUUUCCGCCCUUCAGUGCUGCAGCUAACGCAUUAAGCACUCCGCCUGGGGAGUACGACCGCAAGGUUGAAACUCAAAGGAAUUGACGGGGGCCCGCACAAGCGGUGGAGCAUGUGGUUUAAUUCGAAGCAACGCGAAGAACCUUACCAGGUCUUGACAUCCUUUGACCACUCUAGAGAUAGAGCUUCCCCUUCGGGGGCAAAGUGACAGGUGGUGCAUGGUUGUCGUCAGCUCGUGUCGUGAGAUGUUGGGUUAAGUCCCGCAACGAGCGCAACCCUUAUUGUUAGUUGCCAUCAUUCAGUUGGGCACUCUAGCAAGACUGCCGGUGACAAACCGGAGGAAGGUGGGGAUGACGUCAAAUCAUCAUGCCCCUUAUGACCUGGGCUACACACGUGCU